UACGUAGGUGACCAGCGUUGUCCGGAAUUAUUGGGCGUAAAGCGCGCGCAGGUGGUUUCUUAAGUCUGAUGUGAAAGCCCACGGCUCAACCGUGGAGGGUCAUUGGAAACUGGGGAACUUGAGUGCAGAAGAGGAAAGUGGAAUUCCAAGUGUAGCGGUGAAAUGCGUAGAGAUUUGGAGGAACACCAGUGGCGAAGGCGAACUUUCUGGUCUGUAACUGACACUGAGGCGCGAAAGCGUGGGGAGCGAACAGG
rnacentral:rRNA from 1 species